GAGCUGCAUGAAUAUUGUGGACACACAAGAGCUGAAGAACAGAAGAUUCCAAGAAGUAGCUACCUGCAGAAACAACAGCAGUUGGACCUUCUGGAGGGCAGCAGCUUCUAAGGCAGUUACAAAACAGCUAACGCCCCUCCUGCAGCAGUUCUGGCAGAUAAUUCCAUAACCCUAAAAGAAACAGCAGUAACUAUCUUUCCCCAGGCACGGAUAUCCUCAUCUUUAACAUUGACAGAGCAGAAGGACCCUCAGACGAGACAGAGGGAUUCUGGGUGUCAAUCCACACAGCUGGGGUGGUGUGCUGCAGUUGGCAAAGAGGAGUUUUGGAAGAGAUCUAAACUCUCAUUCUUCAGAGCAUGAAGCAAUCAUUAGCUGAUGAAGGCCUGACCCAAGAGGAUCAGAGGAAGAUGGAAGGACUUGGUUUGCUGGCCCGCACAAGAGUAUCUACGUGUUUGCUGACAUCCAAACAAGAAGGAACUGAAAGAGUUUCCUCCCUGCUACUUUGGAAAUAAAUGAUCUGCAGUCCUCCUUGUACCUAAUGUAUCUCCACUUACCACUCCAGAGCCUGUCUAACAUUGUAACCACUCAGCUCCCGGCCAUCCUGUUGCUGCUUUUCAUGCUAGUUUACCUCUGUUUUUCUCAUAAACUGUGGUCAGUUGAAGCUUUUCCCCAUUCCAAUUUCUGACUGCUCUACUACUUGAUCACCUCGUUAGUAACUUGCUUGGGCUGCAGAAAGACUUGACCAGCUCUUCACACAGAUCUCAGCUGCAGGGUGUGGUCAACUUUCAACCAUGACUCUGAGUAGAACUAACCAAAGCACAGAAUACUCUUAGCAUUGAUUGUC